GACGAACGCUGGCGGCGUGCUUAACACAUGCAAGUCGAACGGAAAGGCCCUGCUUUUGUGGGGUGCUCGAGUGGCGAACGGGUGAGUAACACGUGAGUAACCUGCCCUUGACUUUGGGAUAACUUCAGGAAACUGGGGCUAAUACCGGAUAGGAGCUCCUGCUGCAUGGUGGGGGUUGGACAGUUUCGGCGGUUGGGGAUGGACUCGCGGCUUAUCAGCUUGUUGGUGGGGGAGGGGCUUACCGAGGCUGUGCCGGGUAGCCGGCCGGAGAGGGUGACCGGGCACAGUGGGACGGGGAGACGGCCCAGACUCCUACGGGAGGCAGCAGUGGGGAAUAUUGCGCAAUGGGCGGAAGCCUGAUGCAGCAACGCCGCGUGCGGGAUGACGGCCUUCGGGUUGUAAACCGCUUUCGCCUGUGACGAAGCGUGAGUGACGGUAAUGGGUAAAGAAGCACCGGCUAACUACGUG
rnacentral:rRNA from 1 species